rnacentral:lncRNA from 1 species
AUCCCUCUUCACUUUCACUUGCCCCUUCUCAGAAAUUCUAAUUCACAAAUUCUCUCAAGAAACCAACAAUCAUGACCAACCCACAAGACAAUCCUAGAAUACCUCCACCACCCACUCCCUCUAACUCAUAUACACCUCCUCCACCUAGUACAUCUCCCAACCCCAAGCUGAGAAGGGUGAAAAUACUUACUCGAAAAACAGUAGCACCUGGGGCUCUAAGGAAGAAAUUAAAUGAGAAUUUGAAGGCAAGCCAGGCCCUAAUCUGUGACU